AGACCGCUAAGGCCAGACCACAAUCAAGAUCAAGCCCGACAGCCAGCACCUCUCUGUGUGCACCUCAGGUUCCACCUGCCCAGAAUGACGGCACAGAGGGCAGCUCACCAGAAGGAGAGUCCAUCAAUGUGUCUCAGUACUUCUUAAGUGACAUUUUUACAGAUGUGGUCGAAGGAUGAACAUUGUACAUUAGUGGACUAAUAAAUUAGACUUUUUUAAAGUUUUGUUAAGAUAUCACUGCAAAUAUUAAUUUUAUAAUGUAUUUUUCACAGUUUUGUAUUUUACGUUGGACUGAAGCAGUACCUUGUAAACUUACCAUUUUAAACAGAAAAGGACUGGAAAAAAUAAUGGACUUUAAUGUACAGUUGAAAUACAUCAAGUCUUUGGAUGUCACUCC